GAUGAACGCUAGCGGCAGGCUUAAUACAUGCAAGUCGAGGGGCAGCACGGUUAGCAAUAACUGGUGGCGACCGGCGCACGGGUGCGUAACACGUAUACAAUCUACCUUAAACAGGGGGAUAGCCUUUCGAAAGAGAGAUUAAUACCCCGUAAUAAAUUGAACGGCAUCGUUUGAUUUUGAAAGCUCCGGCGGUUUGAGAUGAGUAUGCGUCUGAUUAGCUAGUUGGUGAGGUAACGGCUCACCAAGGCGACGAUCAGUAGGGGAUCUGAGAGGACUAACCCCCACACUGGUACUGAGACACGGACCAGACUCCUACGGGAGGCAGCAGUAAGGAAUAUUGGUCAAUGGAGGCAACUCUGAACCAGCCAUGCCGCGUGCAGGAUGACGGCCCUAUGGGUUGUAAAGCUCUUUUGUCAGGGAAGAAACGGUGAGUUCUAAUAAAGCUUGCUAAUGACGGUACCUGAAGAAUAAGCACCGGCUAACUACGUGCCAGCAGCCGCGGU
rnacentral:rRNA from 1 species